rnacentral:lncRNA from 1 species
AUCAUAGACUUCUUGUGGGAUUCAAUGAGUUAAUACAUCUAACUCUGGUUAGUUUCUCCUUUCUUCCUCUUCCUUUUUGUUAACAUUGAGCCUCUUUCAUGUUGAAAUUAGGUAUCAACAUAGUAGUUGCUACUGUUGUGGGUACUAGCCACAUAUUUUACAGGGUGGGUGUUAUGGGGUUUCUUCAUUUCUAGUUUGUUAUUUGAAAAUUUUGCAGUUCUAAAUCAGCAGACAGAAUGUUUGAUGGUGAUUGUUUUUCUGUUUUCAAGUUUAAAGAUAUUUGGAGAUAUUGGAUAUUACUUAAAUCAUUUCCCAUGUCCCCAUGGAACUAAUAGUCACAAGUCAGAGCCAUAGAAAGGUAAAUUAUUAGAAUGGCAAGACAUUCUAAAUUAUAUGGUCUAAAAUACCUCUCCUGUCCCACCACUUUUUGGCUAAACUGCUGACCUAAUAAGUUCAGGGCAGAUAAGUUUCUUGAAUAUUAUUAAUUCAGCAUUUAAAAUUUAUUAUAAAAGGAUUCCUUAACAUGUCUGUAGCCAGUAGAAUUUUUAAUUGAGUAAUUUGGGUAUUUUUCACUAACCUCUCCAAAAAUCAUAUUUACCAAAAUAAUAUUGCCUUUUAUUAUGUAGGAGGAAGAUGUUUUUGAUAGUACAGUUUCACAAUGGGACAAAAUAAAAUUAAUGUUGUCUAGAUCAUAUGUGAAUUUAUUUUAGAGAUCUACCAAGUUUCUCCUCCUAUGCGUUUGUAUCUAUCACUUGGCCACCAAAAGAAUUUCUUUUAUUACCCACUAAACCACUCAGUUUCUGAUAAUUGUCCUGUUUAAAGAGUCUCAGACAUCCAAUUACCUCUGUCAACUUGGAUUAUCUCAGACUUCAACAAGCAAGAAAGGUCAUGACAUAAAAACUGUGGUUGUAGCUCAGUGGUAGAGUGCUUGCCUAGCACGUGUGAGGCACUGGGUUUGAUUCUCAGCACUGCAUAUAAAUAAAGAAAGAAAGAAAGAAAGAAAAGAAAAACUUGUGUUUAGCUCUUACAAUGUUUUUUAAAAAUUCCAUUGUUUGGAAUUAUUACUGAUACAUCUUUAUGAGAUAAUUUAAAUAUCCUGUGUAGAAGUAAUUUACAGUUGGGUAUGAUGACUUAUGCUUUUAAUCCCAGUAGCUGGGGAGGCUGAG